UAGCUAGUUGGUGAGGUAAUGGCCCACCAAGGCGACGAUCGGUAGCCGGACUGAGAGGUUGAACGGCCACAUUGGGACUGAGACACGGCCCAGACUCCUACGGGAGGCAGCAGUGGGGAAUAUUGCACAAUGGGGGAAACCCUGAUGCAGCGACGCCGCGUGGAGGAAGAAGGUCUUCGGAUUGUAAACUCCUGUUGUUGAGGAAGAUAAUGACGGUACUCAACAAGGAAGUGACGGCUAACUACGUGCCAGCAGCCGCGGUAAAACGUAGGUCACAAGCGUUGUCCGGAAUUACUGGGUGUAAAGGGAGCGCAGGCGGGCGAUCAAGUUGGAAGUGAAAUCCAUGGGCUCAACCCAUGAACUGCUUUCAAAACUGAUUGUCUUGAGUAGUGCAGAGGUAGGCGGAAUUCCCGGUGUAGCGGUGGAAUGCGUAGAUAUCGGGAGGAACACCAGUGGCGAAGGCGGCCUACUGGGCACCAACUGACGCUGAGGCUCGAAAGUGUGGGUAGCAAACAGGAUUAGAUACCCUGGUAGUCCACACCGUAAACGAUGAUUACUAGGUGUUGGAGGAUUGACCCCUUCAGUGCCGCAGUUAACACAAUAAGUAAUCCACCUGGGGAGUACGACCGCAAGGUUGAAACUCAAAGGAAUUGACGGGGGCCCGCACAAGCAGUGGAGUAUGUGGUUUAAUUCGACGCAACGCGAAGAACCUUACCAAGUCUUGACAUCCUGCGACGAUGCUAGAAAUAGUAUUUUCCUUCGGGACGCAGAGACAGGUGGUGCAUGGUUGUCGUCAGCUCGUGUCGUGAGAUGUUGGGUUAAGUCCCGCAACGAGCGCAACCCUUAUGGUCAGUUACUACGCAAGAGGACUCUGGCCAGACUGCCGUUGACAAAACGGAGGAAGGUGGGGAUGACGUCAAAUCAUCAUGCCCUUUAUGACUUGGGCUACACACGUACUACAAUGGCGUUAAACAAAGAGAAGCAAGACCGCGAGGUGGAGCAAAACUCAGAAACAACGUCCCAGUUCGGACUGCAGGCUGCAACUCGCCUGCACGAAGUCGGAAUUGCUAGUAAUCGUGGAUCAGCAUGCCACGGUGAAUACGUUCCCGGGCCUUGUACACACCGCCCGUCACACCAUGAGAGCCGGGGGGACCCGAAGUCGGUAGUCUAACCGCAAGGAGGACGCCGCCGAAGGUAAAACUGGUGAUUGGGGUGAAGUCGUAACAAGGUAGCCGUACUAGUACGUCUCAGG
rnacentral:rRNA from 1 species